CUACGGUGAAUACGUUCCCGGGCCUUGUACACACCGCCCGUCACACCAUGGGAGUGGGUUGCAAAAGAAGUAGGUAGCUUAACCUUCGGGAGGGCGCUUACCACUUUGUGAUUCAUGACUGGGGUGAAGUCGUAACAAGGUAACCGUAGGGGAACCUGCGGUUGGAUCACCUCCUUACCUUAAAGAA
rnacentral:rRNA from 1 species